rnacentral:lncRNA from 1 species
UUGUAUGUACUGCAGUGACAGAGAUGCUGUUUUCCCAGUUCGUAAAACUGCCACAAGGAGAGCUGACCUUUAUCUGGCUCUGAGGGAGGGAUCCUCAGAGGGAUCCUUUUGUAGUGAAAGGCAGAGUCCCCUCCACAUCUGAUAACCGGCUCGUGCUGCUGUGCAGGACUGGCUGAAGGCAGGCAUGGGAACGCACCAUUUUGGCUGAGGGGACAAGUGGGGCAGGGCAUACUCAGUGGUGGUGUGGGCUGGGGUCUGUCACUGCCCAUACAUGAGGGUUCUACUGACCUGGUGGGGUAACAAGCACAGUGUGGUAUUUUGAUGGCUGUUGUUGGCUGUGCCCUCGUAGGGAUGCCCUGACUGACACAUGGUUUGCUUCUGUGUGGAGCUGCUUCAGCAAGGGCUGCAGGAAGCGAGGAGGAAGGAGAGCAGCAAUUUUGAUUCUUCUGCAAAAGCAGCGUCCCGUGGACUCCGGUGGUGUUUCGGAGAGGCCGGAUGGUGCCCAUGAUGUGCCUGGCUGCUCCCGGCCCAGUGCUACUGUCAGGCAUUAAUCAUCCACUCUCCAUGUCAGCGCGGAGCAGUGCUGCUGCAGCAAAGAGCUGGUUCCUGGAGAAGAGCUGUGUCCUUUCUCGGUGUGAUUCCCAUUGCUUUGGGAGUGGUGGCGGUGCCAGGAAGAUGUGUGCUGACCUGUGUGACACAGGUUGAAAGCGUGCACAGUUGUUCUGAAGGUGUAAUGAUUUCAAAUCAGGCGGUCAGAAUCUGGGAUGAUUUGGGAAGCAGGCCGUGCUCUGCGCAUGGUGUUCUAUGCUUCGGCUGCUGACGAAAAGAAGAGUGUCUCUGCGAGCACCUACUCAUUGUUUGUUGUGCUCAGUGAAGGAUUCAAAUGCUGCCUGAAACUUCCAGCAGCUUCUGGCUAGGGAAUCGUUCUGGGUCAUUAUCAUGUGAAAUCUGGAUUAUGAAANCUGUAAAAGC